rnacentral:rRNA from 1 species
UGGCAUAGGGUGUAUGAAGCUGUGUUGGUGGGUGGGGUGCAGGCGGUGAGAGGGAUUGCUGGGCUGAAGGCGGGCGCAGGCGGUUGUGUAAGACAGAUGUGCAAUGCGCGAGCUCAAGCUGGGAAGUGCAGUUGUGACGGGACGGCUGGAGGGCGGCAGAGGGGGGUGGAAGUCCGCGUGUAGCAGUGAAAUGCGUAGAUAUGCGGAGGAACACCGAUGGCGAAGGCAAUCCCCUGGGCCUGCACUGACGCUCAUGCACGAAAGCGUGGGGAGCAAACAGGAUUAGAUACCCCGGUAGUC